AGAAAAUCCAUGAUCUGUAAAAAAAAAAAAGGAAAUGGAUCGAGUCUUCCGGUUUGCUCUGUGAGGUCUGUUGAUGCUAGUAGUCGGAGCUUGGAAUUUCCCAGGUCAUGGGUAUGGUGGCCUGGAGGUGCAAAGUCUUAUUCCAAAACGCCAUGUUCUCAGUGAGAAUCUCGGUGUUUCAAGCAAGUUCUCGGUGCAGGGGGGCAUCUAUGUUUUAUGCAGCUGUAACCGCGGGGGGUCAUUGUGCAUCACACAACCACACUCGGAGAGAACAGACGAAAACAAAUCAUUAUGGUACUGAGCCAAAGUGGAACCAAGCCAAAUUGAGCGACACAUCUCCAAAAUGUCUCUGAAGUACAUGGACGCAACGUAAUUAUUAACUCGGACUGUAUUGUCUUUGAGAAGAAAUGAAACCGAGUGGACAAUCAAGACCGUCUGUGUUGAGGUGUGACAGAAUCAGGCUUGUGUUGGCUUGCAUGUGUGUUGAGUUUACGAAAUACAAAAAAAGUUCAAAUAAAUGGAGGAUUUCAUGCUCUGGA